UGUUUUUGAGCCCAAGGAACAAGUAUUUAGUCAUGAUUGCCACUCGUUAUAGGCUCUGUUAACAGUGUAAAGAAAGUUGGAAGUUCUCUCCUGAGAAGAAGUAACUUCAAUGCGGAAGGACCCGGGCUUCUCAUGUUUCUCUUUGUAUCCCGACCGCCGGGAACUGCCUUACCUGCAGCUACAAAGUCCUGCAAGUGAGGCUUAGACCCAGAUCUUGUGAACUGUUUUCACAUUUCCCCAUGGAUGCCUAGCAAGGGACUGGGACUGCCUGAUCCGCUUUGGUCAAGAGCACGUGGGUGGCCUGUGUGCAGGCUUAUCAUCAAUAAUUGCAGGACUUGGUGGAGUAUGGUUGAACAGGUGCUCAGACUGCAUGCGUGUCUAGCGAGGCCAUCCUGAAGCUGCAUGGGAGUUGUAAAAAAGUUACCAACAAGUUUUUAGUUAUUUGAAUAGGUUUUUGAAUAGAUUUGGAAUGUGGGAAGCAGUUGCAGAAAUAAACGUCUUAAUGACUAAA
rnacentral:lncRNA from 1 species